UGCGUAGAAAUUUGUGAUUACUCUUGAGUCAUCAUCACUAAUACGUAUAUCAUUUCCAACAUCUAUAAACUAAGAGAGGUUGUCUCAUUUUAGAAGAUAGGUAAAAAAUUUUUCAAUCGCCCAUCGACUCGUGUGACGUCACUGGAGGAAAGAAAAUAAGUAGGUAUUGUUUGUUUACAUAAUUUUGCACUGUGAUAAUGGAGUUAAGCGGUGUUGAUUAAAUUUUUACGAAUCAUUUUUUCAAAAAUCCGUUGCAUUUAAUUAAUUAAUGUAUUUAAUCGAAGAAGAAAUGAAUUGAAGCAGAAGAAGAAACAUUCUAUUCGUUCCAUUCGUUCGUUCUGCUGAACUGCUGCUGAAGAUGCGGGAGUUUCUUUGGUGUGAUCGGCAGUAUCAACGUAUGCAAAUAAAAGACUAAUUAAUAGAUACAGAAAUAUAAUAUCAUCAAUCAAUAUCAUAUCCUUUUUCCUUUCUUCAGAGUUCAGUGAUUCGUUGGUUAUUAAUAUUUAUUUUUCGUUCAACUUUUUGUAUUUCCUGUGUUUUUGUAAAAGUAUCUUUAUUUCUGUAUUUGAAUUCCUGAUUUUUGCUAAUAAAUGGAUGAAUAUUGAA